UAGAGUUUGAUCAUGGCUCAGAAUCAACGCUGGCGGCGUGCCUAACACAUGCAAGUCGAACGAUUAAGACCCCUUCGGGGGUGUAUAGAGUGGCGAACGGGUGAGUAACACGUGGGCAAUCUGCCCCUCACUUCGGGAUAACUCRAAGGAAACUUGAGCUAAUACCGAAUACUUCGAACUGAUCGCAUGGUCGGUUCGGGAAAGCUCCGACGGUGAGGGAUGAGCCCGCGGCCCAUUAGCUUGUUGGUGAGGUAACGGCCCACCAAGGCGACGAUGGGUAGCCGCGCUGAGAGGCGGAUCGGCCACACUGGGACUGAGACACGGCCCAGACUCCUACGGGAGGCAGCAGUGGGGAAUUUUKSSCMAWKGGSSRAAASCCUGACGCAGCAACGCCGCGUGCGGGAUGAAGGCCCUCGGGUCGUAAACCGCUUUCAGCAGAGAUGAAAUUGACWGUACCUGCWGAAGAAGCCCCGGCUAAAUACGUGCCWGCCGCCGCGGKAAUAC
rnacentral:rRNA from 1 species